UGAGCUUGCUCAUGUCAGUUAAGAGUUAUUGAACUUGCAAGAUAAAUUUACUACAGAUUUCGUGUGCACUGAGCACGACGCCGGCCAAGCACUCAGCUGUCAACCAAGCUUUUCUUCUGUGACUUCUACUCCAGGCUGAUCUAUGUUGCUAGAGACCAGAAACACAACCAGAACAGAGUUCCUCUGCUGGCAGCAGCCAUUCCAGCAGCUGGCUGACUGAAAAAGAAAUGAGCACUCAGAGGCUGCAGAAAACUGAGCAGAGCCUGACAUGAAGACAACCAAAGCAGGAGACUGCAGCUGGUGGGUCCAUCAAGUUCUUCCAGGAUUCCAGCUACUGCAGCUUGAGAUGGAAACAGCUGCUCAUGGAAAAGCCACAGAAACUUGUCUGCUCCCAAUCACCACCAAAGCACUGCAGCCACCCCUGACCUGAACUGGCUCACCCUGGACAACCCUGAAGAGCACUGGGCUCCACUCUGGCUUAGGCUGCAGCAGUCACUCCCCAGCAGCCAGGGGGCAAAACUAACCAUCUCUUCUGCAAAUUAACUUUCAGUAAUGAGAUCUCAUUAAACAACAAAACUUUU